rnacentral:rRNA from 1 species
UACGUAGGGUGCGAGCGUUAAUCGGAAUUACUGGGCGUAAAGCGUGCGCAGGCGGUUUGCCAAGUCAGAUGUGAAAGCCCCGGGCUUAACCUGGGAAUGGCGUUUGAAACUGGCAAGCUAGAGUCUGGCAGAGGGGGGUGGAAUUCCACGUGUAGCAGUGAAAUGCGUAGAGAUGUGGAGGAACACCGAUGGCGAAGGCAGCCCCCUGGGCCAAGACUGACGCUCAUGCACGAAAGCGUGGGGAGCAAACAGG